CUAAAAAAGAUGGAUUUCAACCCGAAUUUCCUCGUUUGGGAUCGAUUCAGGAAUUUUAGUGUUCCUCUCUUCAACAUUUAUAGAUUGCAUGCAGUGGACUGUGCCCGAGACGAUUCCCACAGGCGAAUAGUCAGCUUGUAUAAAUGAAAUUGUGCCAGAAAAGUAAGUGUCUACGGGAACGAUCAACAUCGAACUUUCUGAGCCUUCAUACUUAAACUAAAGUGAAUUCAUUUGUGAAUUUCAUGGGAUAUCAGUGAGGAAGUGAUUCAAGCAGACACUUGAGAAAUUUCGGAUCUAAAUCAUAAAUUAGGAUCUUUGGCAUAUUCGGGGAAAAUAGCGUGACUGUGUUGAUUUUAUGGGAUCUUUUUAUUAAUAUAGUUGUAGUGGAUAUUUUGUCUUAAUACAUGUGUUUGUCACUCUAGUCUAGUCAUUAACUUUGUACGGUAAAU